CCGACUACAUGGAAUACCCCAAGUUUCUUUUGUACGUUCUACGUACCGAGGCAAGAUGUUGCUUCACGCAUGGCUACUGCAGCAAUGUUGCCUGGGCCAUCUAUUCCAAGACCGUCUCAGGUAUGUAAUAUAUAGUGCAAAGUAUGAACGUUGCCGUGUACUGCUUACAUCCAGUAUUGUAUUAACUUGGUCACAUCUGUCCCAUUUUUACAGAAUUACAGUGUUUGAUAUUUAUUAUUUCAAAAUUCUUACUGUUCC